rnacentral:rRNA from 1 species
CCUACGGGAGGCAGCAGUCGAGAAUCAUUCACAAUGGGGGAAACCCUGAUGGUGCGACGCCGCGUGGGGGAAUGAAGGUCUUCGGAUUGUAAACCCCUGUCAUGUGGGAGCAAAUUAAAAAGAUAGUACCACAAGAGGAAGAGACGGCUAACUCUGUGCCAGCAGCCGCGGUAAGACAGAGGUCUCAAGCGUUGUUCGGAAUCACGGGGCGUAAAGCGUGCGUAGGCUGUUUCGUAAGUCGUGUGUGAAAGGCGCGGGCUCAACCCGCGGACGGCACAUGAUACUGGGAGACUAGAGUAAUGGAGGGGGGACCGGAAUUCUUGGUGUAGCAGUGAAAUGCGUAGAUAGCGAGAGGAACACUCGUGGCGAAGGCGGGUUCCUGGACAUUAACUGACGCUGAGGCACGAAGGCCAGGGGAGCGAAAGGGAUUAGAUACCCCGGUAGUC